rnacentral:rRNA from 1 species
AUUGAACGCUGGCGGCAGGCCUAACACAUGCAAGUCGAACGAGCGGCGGACGGGUGAGUAAUGUAUGGGGAACUGCCCGAUGGAGGGGGAUAACUACUGGAAACGGUGGCUAAUACCGCAUACUAUCGGAUGUACCCAUAUGGGAUUAGCUAGUAGGUGGGGUAACGGCUCACCUAGGCGACGAUCCCUAGCUGGUCUGAGAGGAUGACCAGCCACACUGGAACGGAGACACGGUCCAGACGCCUACGGGAGGCAGCAGUGGGGAAUAUUGCACGAUGGGCGCAAGCCUGAUGCAGCCAUGCCGCGUGUAUGAAGAAGGCCUUCGGGUUGUAAAGUACUUUCAGCGAGGAGGCGUUACUCGCAGAAGAAGCACCGGCUAACUCCGUGCCAGCAGCCGCGGUAAUUC